rnacentral:misc_RNA from 1 species
UCGAGUGACUUCCACUUUUUGAUUUGCAGUUUUGCUCGCAUUUGAAGCCUCCCUAGGAGAUUCUUCAAGCAAUUUGCCAUUUGCAAGUUCUGUAAGCUUCUCAUCAAGCUUUGGUUUCUUUGAAGAGAUAUUCUCAGUCCAAUGGGGAUCCUUUGUGAGUUUACGUUUAGAUUUUUCUUCAGAAGCAGUGGCUGUUCGAUUUACAGCCUUAACAUCACUGCCACCAGAAUCAAGAUUUAAUUUCUGCACAAUUUUCUUUCUGUCAUCAGAUGCUUUCAAAGAAUCAUCAAGUUUUGCUUGCUUAGAUGGCCUAUCACUAGAUCUACCAGAAUCCAUUGUAGCUUUUACCUUCUUCUCAGCUUGAAACUCAAUGGCAGGAACUUUAA